GGCCUCGUAGCUCAGCUGGUAGAGCAUGCGCGUACAAAGCGUAGGCGGUGUCCAUGCGUGGGUUCGAAGCCCACCGAGGCUA
rfam:Echinostoma caproni strain Egypt genome assembly, scaffold: ECPE_scaffold0008955